GACGAACCGUGCGAACGUUGUUCGGAAUCACUGGGCUUAAAGGGCGCGUAGGCGGCCGACCAAGUCCGGGGUGAAAGCCCCCAGCUCAACUGGGGAAGUGCCUCGGAUACUGGCCGGCUCGAGGGAGGUAGGGGCGGAUGGAACUUCCGGUGGAGCGGUGAAAUGCGUUGAUAUCGGAAGGAACGCCGGUGGCGAAAGCGAUCCGCUGGCCCUCUACUGACGCUGAGGCGCGAAAGCCAGGGGAGCAAACGG
rnacentral:rRNA from 1 species